rnacentral:rRNA from 1 species
CCUAUGGGGGGCAGCAGGCGCGAAAACUUCACAAUGGGGGCAACCCCGAUGAGGGAAUUCCAAGUGCUAGCACUUUUUGUGUUAGCUGUUCUAUUGUCUAAAAAACAAGAGAAGUAAGGGCCGGGUAAGACGGGUGCCAGCCGCCGCGGUAAUACCCGCGGCCCGAGUGGUGGUCGAUAUUAUUGAGCCUAAAACGUUCGUAGCCGGUCUUGUAAAUCCUUGGGUAAAUCGGCCAGCUUAACUGUCCGAAGUCCGGGGAGACUGCAAGACUUGGGAUCGGGAGAGGUCAGAGGUACUUCUGGGGUAGGGGUAAAAUCCUGUAAUCCUAGAAGGACCACCGGUGGCGAAGGCGUCUGACUAGAACGAAUUCGACGGUGAGGAACGAAGCCCUGGGGCGCAAACGGGAUUAGAUACCCCGGUAGUCC